rnacentral:rRNA from 1 species
GACCGGGUACUGCCGCAGUAUUCUGACUGUGCUAAGGUAGCAUAAUAAUUUGUCUUUUAAUUGAGGACUGGAAUAAACGAGUUGACGAAGAGAAAGCUGUCUCUUUUAGGCUACUUAAACUUACCCUUAAGGUUAAAAGGCCUUAUAAAACCAAAGGGACGACAAGACCCUAAAAACUUUAUUCCUUCCUCGAAAGAUAAGAAAUACAACCUUAGGAAUUUUACUGGGGCGGUAAAUUGCAACAAAAUUUAAUUUAAACACUCUGGGUGAAACAAAAGUACAGGAGUACCUAAAAAGAACCAGUUACUUUAGGGAUAACAGCGCAAUUUUUCCAGAGAGUUCUUAUCGGCGGAAAAGAUUACGACCUCGAUGUUGAAUUGAAAUUCCUCUUG